AACGAACGCUGGCGGCAGGCCUAACACAUGCAAGUCGAACGCUCUAGCAAUAGAGAGUGGCAGACGGGUGAGUAACGCGUGGGAACCUUCCCUGUGGUGCGGAAUAACUCGCCGAAAGGCGUGCUAAUACCGCAUAAGCCCGCAAGGGAAGAUUAUCGCCAUAGGAUGGGCCGCGUAGGAUAGCUAGUUGGUGAGGUAAUGGCUCACCAAGGCGACGAUCCAGUC
rnacentral:rRNA from 1 species